rnacentral:rRNA from 1 species
UGAUUAUGACGUACUUGUACUGAUUGAGAUUUUAACACGAAGUGAGUGGCGAACGGGUGAGUAACACGUGGGUAACCUGCCCAGAAGUAGGGGAUAACACCUGGAAACAGAUGCUAAUACCGUAUAACAGAGAAAACCGCAUGGUUUUCUUUUAAAAGAUGGCUCUGCUAUCACUUCUGGAUGGACCCGCGGCGUAUUAGCUAGUUGGUGAGGUAAAGGCUCACCAAGGCAGUGAUACGUAGCCGACCUGAGAGGGUAAUCGGCCACAUUGGGACUGAGACACGGCCCAGACUCCUACGGGAGGCAGCAGUAGGGAAUCUUCCACAAUGGACGCAAGUCUGAUGGAGCAACGCCGCGUGAGUGAAGAAGGGUUUCGGCUCGUAAAGCUCUGUUGUUAAAGAAGAACGUGGGUAAGAGUAACUGUUUACCCAGUGACGGUAUUUAACCAGAAAGCCACGGCUAACUACGUGCCAGCAGCCGCGGUAAUACGUAGGUGGCAAGCGUUAUCCGGAUUUAUUGGGCGUAAAGCGAGCGCAGGCGGUCUUUUAAGUCUAAUGUGAAAGCCUUCGGCUCAACCGAAGAAGUGCAUUGGAAACUGGGAGACUUGAGUGCAGAAGAGGACAGUGGAACUCCAUGUGUAGCGGUGAAAUGCGUAGAUAUAUGGAAGAACACCAGUGGCGAAGGCGGCUGUCUGGUCUGCAACUGACGCUGAGGCUCGAAAGCAUGGGUAGCGAACAGGAUUAGAUACCCUGGUAGUCCAUGCCGUAAACGAUGAUUACUAAGUGUUAGGAGGGUUUCCGCCCUUCAGUGCUGCAGCUAACGCAUUAAGUAAUCCGCCUGGGGAGUACGACCGCAAGGUUGAAACUCAAAAGAAUUGACGGGGGCCCGCACAAGCGGUGG